rnacentral:rRNA from 1 species
UACGAAGGGUGCAAUCGUUGCUCGGAAUUAUUGGGCGUAAAGCGCACGUAGGCGGCUUGGCAAGUCGGAUGUGAAAUCCCUCGGCUCAACCAAGGAAGUGCAUCCGAAACUGCUGAGCUUGAGUACGAAAGAGGAUCGCGGAAUUCCCGGUGUAGAGGUGAAAUUCGUAGAUAUUCGGAAGAACACCAGUGGCGAAGGCGACUUACUGGACACAUAUUGACGCUGAGGUGCGAAAGCGUGGGGAGCAAACAGG